rnacentral:rRNA from 1 species
UACGAGGGGGCAAGCGUUGUUCGGAAUUAUUGGGCGUAAAGGGCGCGUAGGCGGUGCGGUAAGUCACCUGUGAAAACUCUGGGCUCAACUCAGAGCCUGCAGGCGAAACUGCCGUGCUUGAGUGUGGGAGAGGUGCGUGGAAUUCCCGGUGUAGCGGAUGAAAUGCGUAGAUAUCGGGAGGAACACCUGUGGCGAAAGCGGCGCACUGGACCACAACUGACGCUGAGGCGCGAAAGCUAGGGGAGCAAACAGG